rnacentral:rRNA from 1 species
GACGAAGGGGGCUAGCGUUGUUCGGAAUUACUGGGCGUAAAGCGAGUGUAGGUGGUUGUCCAAGUUGGAUGUGAAAGCCUUGAGCUCAACUCAAGAAAUGCAUUCAGGACUGGGCGGCUAGAGGACCGGAGAGGAUAGUGGAAUUCCCAGUGUAGUGGUGAAAUACGUAGAGAUUGGGAAGAACACCAGUGGCGAAGGCGGCUACCUGGCCUGUUCUCGACGCUGAGGCGCGAAAGCUAGGGGAGCAAACGGGG